GACGAACGCUGGCGGCGUGCUUAAUACAUGCAAGUCGAACGGAAAGGCCCUGCUUUUGUGGGGUGCUCGAGUGGCGAACGGGUGAGUAACACGUGAGUAACCUGCACUUGACUUUGGGAUAACUUCAGGAAACUGGGGCUAAUACCGGAUAGGAGCUCCUGCUGCAUGGUGGGGGUUGGAAAGUUUCGGCGGUUGGGGAUGGACUCGCGGCUUAUCAGCUUGUUGGUGGGGUAGUGGCUUACCAAGGCUUUGACGGGUAGCCGGCCUGAGAGGGUGACCGGCCACAUUGGGACUGAGAUACGGCGCAGACUCCUACGGGAGGCAGCAGUGGGGAAUAUUGCACAAUGGGCGGAAGCCUGAUGCAGCAACGCCGCGUGCGUGAUGACGGCCUUCGGGUUGUAAACCGCUUUCGCCGGUGACGAAGCGUGAGUGACGGUAAUGGGUAAAGAAGCACCGGCUAACUACGUG
rnacentral:rRNA from 1 species